rnacentral:rRNA from 1 species
AGUGGCGGACGGGUGAGUAACGCGUGGGUAACCUGCCUCAUACAGGGGGAUAACAGUUAGAAAUGACUGCUAAUACCGCAUAAGACCACAGCACCGCAUGGUGCAGGGGUAAAAACUCCGGUGGUAUGGGAUGGACCCGCGUCUGAUUAGGUAGUUGGUGGGGUAACGGCCUACCAAGCCGACGAUCAGUAGCCGACCUGAGAGGGUGACCGGCCACAUUGGGACUGAGACACGGCCCAA